CUGGGACAUUCUUUAAAUCAAAUGGCAUCCGAUUGAACUUAAAGUGGCCAUGAGGAGUCGAAAAAGCCGUUUUGGGCUUAGAUGCAGAAUCUACGGGAAUUUGAUGAAAUCCGGAUGCUAGAUCUAACGUACUGAAGUACUUAGCUUCGCCUAACUGAUCUAAUAUUUCCGUAAUAUUAGGAAGAGGAUAGGCAUCCGCCAUGGUUUUUUCGUUUAACCUGCGAUAGUCAAUAACCAUGCGUCAUCGAGGCUUCCCAGAUGAAUCGAGUUUUUUGGGGACAAUCCAUAAAGGAGAAUUAUAAGGGGACAUCGAUGGCUGGAUUAUUUCGCUCUCAAUUAGUGAAUUUACUUGGGUUUUUAUCUCGUUUUUGUGGAUCGGCGGAAAUUUAUAUUGCUUCGUGUUUAUAGAUAAUUUGUCGGUUGUGUUAAUGGCAUGAUGAGGAAUAUUAGCUGCCUUUAAUCUAUCACUAGGUAAAUGUAACUAAUACGGAAACUCGUUGAUGAUUUCUAAAAUACUACUUUUUUCGGAUUCAUGAAGGUGACCUAAUUCAAGAAACCUAAGAAUUUCACUGAGCCUUCGAGCGUGAUCCUCCGAUUUGUCCGCGGGCGGAUUUCCUGUACGAGAAGAACGGGGUGCAGGAGGUCGCGAAUCAAAUUCCUCUAGUUCGACAAGGGGAAUUGUAAUAGUAACAUGGUCGCAAAUUGUAUUAAUUGCGUAUAGUUUGACCAGGCCAUUUUGUUGGCUGGCCAGAAUAUCACCUAUGAAAAUGCCAGGUUCGGCAUCAAUCCGUUUCGUAGCCCAACUCAUUAUUAUUCCCGACGGGGACCGAGAUCAAAACUUUCGUUCGCGGGGGUAAGACGUGUGAUAAAAAGGUGGACGCGAACAAAUUCUUUUUUUCGAAAGACAGAAUACAUGGAAAAUUUUCUUUAAAUUUAAGGGUUGCCUGUUGUUUUUAUAGGAACGCGACUCCUAAAAUUCCGGCUUCCUUAAUUGGAAAGUCGUUAUCGACCAGCUGAAAAUGUAUGGGGGUGUUGCAAAUGAAGAUGAUUAUUUCGCCUCGCGUUUGACCGUUCGCGUUUGGAUCAUGCCGGUUAAGCUGUGAACCUGUGUCUACUAAAUAUUCAGCGAAGCCCUGGUGAAAAUAGUCGUGUGUUAAGAAAAUAGCUGGUGAUUGCACGGCGCUAUUUAAACCGGUUUCAUAGCAGACGCAGUGGAUUUGGCGCGGGAAAUUAGGGGUUCUCUCCGUAUCGCGCCUGGCAGCGGAGCCCCUCUGGAGUUUAAAGGAUUAUUCCCACUAUUUUCAGAGGCUAACGUCUCGCGGUCGACACGUUGAAUAACCUUUAAUUCGUCCUGAACAGCGCUUAGAUCAAAACGUUGAGCAUAUGCGGAUUUUAUUAAGGCAAUCAAUUCUUCAAUAUUUUCCGGUCUAUCCUCGCCUACUAUGCUGUCAUAAACGCGGUAUUGUAUUCAACCUCGUGCUACAGUAAGCAAAUAAUCUUUAUGUUCAGCUCCUACCAUAGAAUCGGCAAGUCUACAUUGAGCAAUGAAAUUUCCUACUUCAGAUGAUUUUCCCUCAAAAUGAGGUAUUAUAUUUACUAUUUAAUCAUACGAAAUACGCGGCGCGGUUCUCGGGAGUUCGAUCGGCAUUGAAAUUGCAUUAUUAAUCAGGUCACGUGGAGCGGUUUGCUGCGAGGGUCGCAUUUGAGUUAGAAUGGGAUCAUUCAAUUGGGGGUUGAAGCGGAUGUUACGUAUACAGAAACUCGCUGUUUGUUUCCGAAGCUCACGUUAAUCAAUUUUAUUUUAUCUACCCUCCUGGAAUUUGGAGCUCGAUCUCCCUGGAGUGCAUCCUGCAGCUGCAUACUCUUAACAUCAUCUUCGACUUGCGUUGCGUGGGAAGACUUCUUAUCUACCCUUUCCCAGGGAACGCGGCUGCUCACCUCAGAGCCAUGAAAAUCCUAACCGUCAGAUUUCCAAAUAUGGAAAUCACCGACGGAUCCCCACCAACAUUUAGGGGUAUAUAAACCCACGAUCUUCGUUGCUCGGGGGAUUAGAACGAUAGAGUUACGUAGAGUCACAUCACGUCCAUCGUUGCAGAGUGUGCUUUAGUGAGAUCGGGCUUCAGUUUCCCUUUCGAUCAAGUUAACCUUAUAGAUCCGCGAAGACGGUUUUCAUCUAUUAUGGCAUUUAAAAUCACACUCGACCGCCGCAUUGCCAGUGCGUUAACACCGUGCAACAAUUAGGUAAUUAAAUUCAACGUUUACUACACACGACCGCGACAACACAACACUACACAUUUGUAACUUAGUAUAGUUAUUCUGAAUAUAUAUAUUCUUUUGUGUAAAUUCAAAGUUUCCUAAGUCAAUUACUAAACCUUCACGAUAUAACAAGCAAUCCUAGCCUGUGUAACGAUCCCACAACAUAAUAACUUUGUCGCUCGAGUUAUUAUUCAAUUAAAUUAAUAAGUUGCGAGGCUUUAUCCGCGACGCGUAGUAUUCAUCAACGAUACGAUUUAAGCUCAGUGUAUUCAACCCGAAUUCCCUAAUUCAACCUAUCCUGCGGUUACCCUUUACUGGGAGAUACCGAUUCCUGCAACUAUCUGACUUCACGUCAGAGUCGUCUGCAUUGUCUAACCUAUCCUCAGCCUUCGGCACCAUUGAUACACAAUAAUUAAUCGUAUUGGUUCAAUUCUCAAAUCUACCCCACUCGCUGGGCUCACACGCGCAUCGCUAUCGCCCUGGCUCGUAACACGGAUAAGAGCCCGAAAAUACUACGAUAGAAGAUACGGGCUCGGGCGAUGUCCGCAGACAAACCAGAAAUCACGAAAGACUCGCUUAUUCGAGGUAUAUUACUAUCAAGAGAAGAAGAGGAAGAUCCUACGCUGGGGGAUUUUACUAUUAUGUCCUCUAUAAAAAAACUCGACAUCACCACGCAGACUAGAUUUGCGGCACUUCUUGGUCUUUACAAAUUUUCUCAAGAAUGGCGGCAUUUUGGGCUGGCAACUAAUAAAGAUUGUAACAACAUAAUUUUUAACAGUCUGGACUUACAAAUUUUGUUGACGAUUGGCUAAGGUCUACUAUAAGGUCGUUUUAACGCUCGCGUGUUCGUUUCUCUUCACAGCAGUUGCUCCGAUUUUGGUCGUCGUCAGACCUUGAGCUGGCUGGUCUCCGUCCUGGACAAGGAAGGUCCUUUGGAUCUCGAGGUCGACGAUGCCCCUGUUGCAUGAAGUCUCCCUCGUGUCUCGUUCAGCGAUGAUCACCCCUUAAUCAAGGUCAGCAGGAAGGCCUGAUGAUGAUGUGGACAGAAUGCAUGUGAUUACGAUGGUAGCUAGCACGGCCGCCGAAAUCACCCGUCUCCGGUAUUUACCCUUGCUCUUGGGGAAACCUUGCGAAAACCCAAGAGAGAGAGGAUGCACUGAUUCUGAUGUCCACUUUAUAUUGCAAAUGUUCAAUAAAACAGUUCGUAAAAUCUUCGAUUGUUAUUAAAGCGCGUACUCGCGAGCCGGCAGUUAUUUAGAAAAU